rnacentral:rRNA from 1 species
UUCCGGUUGAUCCUGCCGGAGGCCAUUGCUAUCGGAGUCCGAUUUAGCCAUGCUAGUCGUGCGAGUUCAGACUCGCGGCACCGAGCUCAGUAACACGUGGCCAAACUACCCUACAGAGACGGAUACCCUCGGGAAACUGAGGUUAACCCGUCAUACCGAUCUCAGGCUUGAAUCGCAGAGAUCACAAAACGCCCCGGCGCUGUAGGAUGUGGCUGCGGUUGAUUAGGUAGACGGUGGGGUAACGGCCCACCGUGCCCAUAAUCAGUACAGGUUGUGAGAGCAAGAACCUGGAGACGGAAUCUGAGACAAGAUUCCGGGCCCUACGGGGCGCAGCAGGCGCGAAACCUUUACACUGCACGCACGUGCGAUAAGGGGACUCCGAGUGCGAGGGCAUAUCGUCCUCGCUUUCGUGUACCGUAGGGUGGUACACCAACAAGGGCUGGGCAAGACCGGUGCCAGCCGCCGCGAUAAUACCGGCAGCCCGAGUGAUGGCCGAUCUUAUUGGGCCUAAAGCGUCCGUAGCUGGCUACGCAAGUCCGUCGGGAAAUCCACUCGCCCAACGAGUGGGCGUCCGACGGAAACUGCAUAGCUUGGGACCGGAAGGCUCGAAGGGUACGUUCGGGGUAGGAGUGAAAUCCCAUAAUCCCGCACGGACCACCGAUGGCGAAAGCACUUCGAGAAAACGGAUCCGACAGUGAGGGACGAAAGCCAGGGUCUCCAACCGGAUUAGAUACCCGGGUAGUC